GCCUGGGUAACCCUGAAGGGAAAAGUAGCCCCAAAUGUGGUCAGGGUAGAUAGAUGCAUGGAAAAUGAAGAUUCUUACUCUAAACACUACAGUGGCUGAGCAGGGUCUAACAAUAUCAGGGACAUUCUCCCUUUGGUAUCAGCUGAAGGAAUGUCCUGCUUGCUUGCUUCUCUGAGCCAAUGCUCAUGCGUAAAAGGGAGAGAAAGUGGAGACCACACUCGGACUGACUGACUGACUGCCAUCUGGUGUAGCUGUCUUGGACAGGAGGAAAGAAGACCUAUGCUGCUCCGCUCAGUGUUACACUCUGGAAAAUGGUUUUGUACAUUUUCUCCAAGUAUCCAAAGAGAUUUUGCUAUUACAAUGGAAAAGGGACUACAUAAAGGAUGUCAUCCAGACGUCAAGUCCAGAGGAAAUUCAUGGGAAAAGAGAACGUCCUAGAGCCAAGGAGGAGAUGAACAAAACCAAGAUUUACUCUAAAGGAAGAAAAAAUAUGAGUCAAUGAAAGGUCUAAAAUUACUGAAAUAUGAAGACAAUCAUUGGUACUCAUCAGCAGAGAAGAAAAUUCCAAAGAAAAUAUAAUGACCAAAUCAUUUCAUUUGUGUAUGUAAUUUUCCUUAGAAGAAAAUGAUUCUGGGAAAACUGAUAGAAGUUCUAAAUGUGCUCAGUGACUGCGUUACAUUUCCAA
rnacentral:lncRNA from 1 species